rnacentral:rRNA from 1 species
CCUACGGGUGGCAGCAGUGGGGAAUAUUGGACAAUGGGGGAAACCCUGAUCCAGCGACGCCGCGUGAGCGAAGAAGUAUUUCGGUAUGUAAAGCUCUAUCAGCAGGAAAGAAAAUGACGGUACCUGACUAAGAAGCCCCGGCUAACUACGUGCCAGCAGCCGCGGUAAUACGUAGGGGGCAAGCGUUAUCCGGAUUUACUGGGUGUAAAGGGAGCGUAGACGGCAGCGCAAGUCUGGAGUGAAAUGCCGGGGCCCAACCCCGGAACUGCGUUGGAAACUGUGAAGCUGGAGUGCAGGAGAGGUAAGCGGAAUUCCUAGUGUAGCGGUGAAAUGCGUAGAUAUUAGGAGGAACACCAGCGGCGAAGGCGGCUUACUGGACUGUGACUGACGUUGAGGCUCGAAGGCGUGGGGAGCAAACAGGAUUAGAUACCACAGUAGUC